UUAAACGUCCAUACCACGUUGAAUACACCGAUUCUCGUCUGAUCACCGAAGUUAAGCAACAUCGGGCGAGGUCAGUACUUGGAUGGGUGACCGCCUGGAAGCGCCGCCGAAGAAUUGA
rnacentral:rRNA from 1 species